UGCUGUUUAUGAACCGAGCUUUUGUUUAAUUGGUUACAGCAAACAGGGAAAUAAAUAACACCAAUACUCAGUCUGUCUCUAGUGACUCCCAGAUGGCCAUGGUGAGCAAGCUUUACUCUACAAGCAGCCCUCAGGAAAAGUUUGUAAGCCUGCUAUGAGGGAAAAAGCACACAGACUUCCAGCUCCACUACAGAGGACUGCAUUUCUGCUGUACUUUAGUAAGGGGAAUGAGGAAUGGAACACUCAAAGACAGCGCCAGGCAUCCGAGGCAGCCCAGCAUCUACACUUAGCUUUAGGAUGAGUCUGCCCAUCUCAGGCAGCUCCUGCAGAGAUGUCCAAAGAAAUAAAAUAAGAUUGUGUCUUAGCACUUUCUCUCACACUCCCGACCAGCUCCAUCCCAACCCAAUCACUGAUCUGCAAAGCAAAAUGCUCAGUGCAGAAAGAACAGUAAACAGGCACAAAAGCUGUCCUUUUCAAGAGAGGAUAAGGAAACAAUGAGAUGUCCUUACUGUGGACCCCCAGCACUCAGCAAAGCUGUUAUAAAAAAAAGAGUGAAGGACAAGUCUCUAACAAGGGGUGAUGAGCUUGUAAAUAGCUUUUAAUCAGAAAGAGGGGGAAAGAAAGGGAGUAAAGAGCUGGUUAGAAGUCUUCUAUGCAAACUUGUGUAGGAAAAUAUUGAUCUGUCAAAAUCUUGGGUUCUUGCAGGCCAGGGUCAGCUCCAACCCAUCUUCCGUAAUUCAUAGAAGUUCUGAAUUGCCAGAAACGUGACACUGUCAGAAUGUCAAGUUCCCAGUUUCAAGCUGGGAUAGCUUUUCAUAUAGAAAUUGUAUGUAGCUACAAUAAGAGGAAAAAAGAUUUAAGAAAGAAAAACCAACAUAGAAACAAUACCUCGAUUACCAACACAAAAUGCCAGCUGACCUAACACAGCUAACCAUCCACUCCCCACAAGUUACUGACCUAGGAACACUUCUGAAGUUCAAAGCCUUCUUCCUCCUUUGGAGAGAAGUUCUGACACUCCAAAAACUCCCAAGUAGGAGAGCAGAGCAGCAUCCUCUGCUGUGAUGGACGUGCUGCAGCAUGGACUUAUCCAUACCAAUUCCAUUAGCAGGACAUUGUCUGUCACUCAUGUGCAGCAUCAGGAUUCUCCAGCAAACACCAUCACUGCCAGCAGCUUGAGUCUGGUAGUCCCUAUGGACAGCACAUUGCACUUGCUCCAGGCCCUAUCUGUAGUACCAUCUUUAAACCCAAUGUGCCAGCAUAGAGACUUUAAAUGCCUUUGUAAAUAGCCUUUCCAGCUGAGUGUAAUUAC
ensembl:lncRNA